GUAGUUGGUUCCCAUUUGGUGAGUGAGGCAGCAUUUCCUUCUCCCACUGCUGCUGAGAUGGCAGGAACUAGUCAGAUUCAGUAUGAAAUGGAAUACACCGGAGGUGUAUUAGUCAGCAGAUGAGGGUCCCAGAAAAAUUAAAAAGUUGCUCCACCAAAUGCUGGCCUGGAGCAAGGAUUCCAAGAGGCAUUCCAAACGCUAGUGUGGUAUGCAGGUUCCAGAGAGGAUCGGUGUAGCAGGAAAUAAUGAAGAUGUUUCAUUUUCAAGACCAGCAGAUCUUGACCGUAUCCAGUCAACUCCCUUUAAACCUCUGGCACUAAAAACACCGCCCCGUGUACUUACACUGAGUGAAAGACCACUAGAUUUUCUGGAUUUAGAAAGGCCUCCUCCAACCCCUCAAAAUGAAGAAAUCCGUGCAGUUGGCAGGCUAAAGAGAGAGUGCUCUAUGAGUGAAAAUGCUGUUUGCCAAAAUGGACAGCUGGUCAGGAACGAUUCCAUGUAUGCCAUUUCAUAUAGAUGCCACAAUCGAAGGGACAUCAGAUGACAUGACUGUUGUAGAUGCAACUUCAUUAAGACGAUAGAUAGUCAAACUAAAGAGAUACCUACAACUUCUAGAAGAGGAGAACAAAGAGCAUGCAAAAAGAGAGAUGGUUAUAUAUUCAAUUACUGUAGCAUUCUCGCAGCUUAAUAGCUGA